rnacentral:rRNA from 1 species
UGGGGAAUUUUACGCAAUGGGGGAAACCCUGACGUAGCGACACCGCGUGAGCGAAGAAGCCCUUUGGGGUGUAAAGCUCUGUCAGCUGGAACGAAAACAAUGACGGUACCAGCAGAGGAAGCAUCGGCUAACUACGUGCCAGCAGCCGCGGUAAGACGUAGGAUGCGAGCGUUGUCCGGAUUUAUUGGGCGUAAAGAGUUCGUAGGUGGUUUGUUAAGUUUGGUGGUAAAGAUCGGGGCUCAACCCUGGGACUGCACUGAAUACUGGCAGACUCGAGUGUGGUAGAGGCUAGUGGGAUUCCCAGUGUAGCGGUGAAAUGCGUAGAUAUUGGGAAGAACACCGGUGGCGGAGGCGACUAGCUGGGCCAUAACUGACGCUGAGGAACGAAAGCCAGGGGAGCGAAUGGG